rnacentral:pre_miRNA from 1 species
GGAAACUUGGAAACUACCGUUGGAUCGAGAAAUGAACGUCCGAGAUUCGUUCACGUCACCGUAAGUUAAAAUUUAACCGAGAUUCGUUCACGUCACCGUAAGUUAAAAUUUAACUCGUAGAUUUACUCAUGAGUUAAAAUUUUACUGGAAGUUAAAUUUUAACUCAUAGUGACGUGGACGAAUCUCGGACGUCCAUUUCUCGAUCUAACGGUAAUUUCCAAGUUUCC